CCCACGAUUUAUGUACAUAUAGAUGAACGUUUAUCCAAUCCAUUUGCCGCUCUAACGCUCUGUUUCCACCGAGAAUGGCGGCCAUAAACUACCUCUGCCACCCUCCUCUAGUUUCCAACUUUAAACUCCAUUGCAAAAAGUCCAAAAACGACGUUGCAUUCCAAGAGAAAAAAUCCGGUUUCGUCGAUUACGAUACGGGCCAACACCAAGUUUCCACUCAAGUUACUGGAUUCAGGAAAUGCGACCUCCAGAAACGUUACCGUUUAAAAGUUGGAGGCGACCGGUUUCAAAGGGACUGGACUCUAUCUCAAGUCGUCAGCAAAAUUCUAGAACUUAAUCCUAAAUACGACGAUGUUGAGGUUGUACUUAACCAUUGGAUUGGCCGUUUUGCCCGAAAGAAUUUCCCUCGUUUAAUUAAAGAGAUAACGCAGAGGGGCGCUCUGGAGCAUAGCAAUUUAGUGUUUCGAUGGAUGAAAUUGCAAAAGAAUUAUUGUGCACGCACUGAUAUGUAUAAUAUGAUGAUCAGGCUUCAUGCUAGACAUAAUCUUACUGAUCAGGCGCGUGGUUUGUUCUUUGAGAUGCAAGAAUGGAGGUGCAAACCAGAUUCUGAGACUUACAAUGCUCUUAUCAAUGCACAUGGAAGAGCAGGUCAAUGGCGUUGGGCCAUGAAUAUAAUGGAAGACAUGCUUCGUGAAGCUAUUCCCCCUAGUCGAUCAACAUAUAAUAACUUGAUCAAUGCUUGUGGAUCUAGUGGUAAUUGGAGAGAAGCUCUGAAAGUAAGUAAGCAAAUGACUGAAAAUGGAGUUGGUCCUGAUCUGGUGACUCAUAAUAUUGUUUUAUCUGCAUACAAGACUGGUGCUCAAUAUUCAAAAGCUUUAUCUUAUUUUGAACUAAUGAAAGGAACAAAUAUUCGUCCUGAUACAACAACCCGAAACAUUGUGAUAUAUUGCUUAGUGAAACUUGGUCAGUGUGAGAAAGCUAUUGAUAUUUUUAAUUCCAUGAGGGAAAAGAGGGCAGAAUGCCGGCCGGAUAUUGUAACUUUUACAAGUAUAAUCCAUCUAUACUCUCUGAGUGGGCAGGUUGAAAAUUGUAAGGCUGUUUUCAGUACUAUGCUUGCAGAAGGUUUAACGCCCACUAUUGUUUCAUAUAAUGCUCUGAUAGGAGCAUAUGCUUUUCAUGGAAUGAGUGAAGAGGCAUUAUCAGUUUUUAAGAAAAUUAAAGCAAGUGGACUUCUCCCAGAUGUUGUGUCCUAUACAUCCUUGCUCAGUUCUUAUGGGAGAUCAAAGCAACCCAAAAAAGCAAGAGAGAUGUUUAACAUGAUGAAGAAGGCCAAGUUGAAGCCAAAUGUUGUUAGCUUUAAUGCCCUGAUUGAUGCAUAUGGAUCUAAUGGUUUGCUAGCUGAUGCUGUGAAAGUUCUGCGUGAAAUGGAGCAAGAUGGCAUUCACCCAAAUAUUGUCACCAUAUGUACUCUUUUGGCAGCCUGUGGCCGCUGCGGUCAAAAGGUGAAUAUUGAUGCUGUGCUUUCAGCAGCUAAAAUGCGAGGCAUCAAGUUGAACACAGUUGCAUGUAAUUCAGCUAUUGGAAGCUACAUGAAUGUGGGAGAAUAUGAAAAGGCUGUGGCUUUGUACAACUCCAUGAGGAAAAUGAAAGUGGCACCUAAUUCUGUUACUUAUACAGUCUUGAUAAGUGGUUGCUGCAAGAUGUCAAAAUAUGGUAAGGCAAUUGAAUUUUUUGCAGAUAUGAUGGAAUUGAAAAUUGCUUUGACCAAGGAGGUUUGCUCAUCUGUGAUAUGUGCCUACAGUAAGCAGGGCCAAAUCACAGAAGCAGAAUCUAUUUUCACUAUGAUGAAGAUGGCUGGCUGUUGUCCUGACAUAAUUACAUAUACCGCAAUGCUGCAUGCUUACAAUGCUGGAGAACACUGGGGAAAAGCUUGCGAUCUAAUUCAAGAAAUGGAAGACUAUGAUAUCCAACUUGAUACUAUUGCAUGUUCAGCUCUGAUGAUGGCAUUCAAUAAACGAGGCAACCCAUCACAGGUUCUUAUUCUGGCGGAGUUCAUGAAAGAGAAAGAAAUCCCCUUUAGCGAUGCUAUUUUCUUUGAAAUGGUUUCAGCAUGUAGUCUAUUACGUGAUUGGAGGACUAUACUUAAUUUGAUGAAAUUGAUGGAGCCAUCAUUCUCUGUAGUAUCAAUUGGACUUUUGAAUCAGCUUCUUCAUGUUCUUGGAAGAAGUGGAAAGAUUGAGUCCAUGAUGAAGUUAUUUUACAAGAUUACUGCAUCGGGUGCUGAAAUCAACUUCAACACUUAUUCAAUCAUGUUGAAGAAUCUUUUGGCUGUUGGAAAUUGGAGAAAAUAUAUUGAGGAUCUAAUCACAGGUCUAGACACGAAAGGGCCCUUCUUUAAAUCUGAUGAAUUGGUGAAGGCAGACUCGUCCUUGACAGAGCCCCCUCCUAAGAUUAACUUUGGAGAGAAUGAAAUGCUUGCUUCUUAUUCAAUAGUGAAGGCCUUUUAUAGGCUACUGAUAACAAAUAAAAGGAGAUCCUAAAUUAUAGGCUCUGAUUAGGAUCUUGAGUAUCAAAAUCAAAACAAUAAAGCAAACGAGAACUCUUAAUUAGGUAUUGGAAUGGAUGGAGGAUGCAGGAAUCCAACCUUCAAUUGGAAUGUAUUAUGAUAUAUCCUCCUAUGUGCAAAAGGGUGGUGGAGCUGAAUAUGCUGCUAUCAUACAAGAAAGAGUUGAAUCUCUGAGAAGAAAAUGUGGGAGUCAAAUAUCAACAACCAAGGUGUGAGAUGCUAGUCCUUCUAGCUUCAGACUAGUCAAUUGGGACAGUAUUCAUCGAUUCAACAAUUUGCAAGGUUUGUCCUGCCACACAUAUCCAGAUGAUGGCAAAUAUCGAGUUCAGCAAAGAUUGGAGCUAAAUAGUCCCAAAUUCCUUAUAUGAGAAACCAGUUGCUGCGGUAGAUUUUCCUACUGAAAUUUAUUGGUUUUGCAGCAAGCUUUUCUGAGGACUUCGGCUAAAGCUAUGAAUGCUUCAUCCUGCAUAUUUGAGAGUGAUUGCCUUUUUUGCUUAAAAAGGUUCUCUCUUGUACAUUUCCUCCUUUUUCUCAAAGAUGGUCUCUAUUGUACAAAUCCUAUCUCUUGGGAGAUAGAUGUUUUAGUGACAUGAGUUGUAUUUUUUUAUUCACUUUUCAAUCCCUUUAGUUGAUAGGUCAGGAAAGAGAGUAGCUGAUCGGGUUGCUUCAGCUACUUUAAAGCAAUGUAUUUCUACUGUUUGAAUUACAAGGAUGUGUAAUUGUUCGAAGAUCUUUCCAGUAUCAAUGAGUCUACACGAUACACUUAAAAGUCUAA